GUUCUCCUACGGGGGGCAGCAGUGAGGAAUAUUGGUCAAUGGGAGAGAUCCUGAACCAGCCAAGCCGCGUGAGGGAAGACGGCCCUAUGGGUUGUAAACCUCUUUUGUCGGAGAACAAAACCCAGGACGUGUCCCGGACUGCGUGUAUCCGAAGAAAAAGCAUCGGCUCACUCCGUGCCAGCAGCCGCGGUAAUACGGAGGAUGCGAGCGUUAUCCGGAUUUAUUGGGUUUAAAGGGUGCGUAGUCGUUCCGUUAAGUCAGCGGUAAACUUGCGGGGCUCAACCCCGUCGAGCCGUUGAAACUGG
rnacentral:rRNA from 1 species